GGCUCAGAACAAACGCUGGCGGCGUGCAUAACACAUGCAAGUCUAACGGGAAUGUCGGCUUCGGCUGACUAGUACCGUGGCGAACGGGUGAGUAACACGUGGGUAAUCUAACCUCGAGUUUGGGAUAACCUUGCGAAAGCGGGGCUAAUACCGAAUAAGACCACGCCUUGUACGCAGGGUGCGGUAAAAGGUGGCCUCUUCUUGAAAGCUAUCACUUGAGGAUGAGCCCGCGGCCUAUUAGCUAGUUGGUGGGGUAACGGCCCACCAAGGCGACGAUGGGUAGCCGGCCUGAGAGGGUGUACGGCCACACUGGCACUGAGAUACGGGCCAGACUCCUACGGGAGGCAGCAGUGGGGAAUUUUGCGCAAUGGGGGAAACCCUGACGCAGCAACGCCGCGUGAGUGAUGAAGGCCUUCGGGUCGUAAAGCUCUUUUAGUGGGGAAGAAGCCCCGCAGGACUAAUACUUCUGCGGUCUGACGGUACCCACAGAAAAAGUUCCGGCUAACUACGUGCCAGCAGCCGCGGUAAUACGUAGGGAGCAAGCGUUGUUCGGAAUUAUUGGGCGUAAAGAGCGCGUAGGCGGUUCGGUAAGUCUGACGUGAAAUCCCGGAGCUUAACUCCGGAACUGCGUUGGAUACUGCCGAGCUUGAGUGUGGGAGAGGAGAGUGGAAUUCCCAGUGUAGAGGUGAAAUUCGUAGAUAUUGGGAGGAACACCGGUGGCGAAGGCGGCUCUCUGGACCACAACUGACGCUGAGGCGCGAAAGCUAGGGUAGCAAACGGGAUUAGAUACCCCGGUAGUCCUAGCCGUAAACGAUGGGCACUAGGUGUUGGAGGUAUCGACCCCUCCAGUGCCGCAGCUAACGCAUUAAGUGCCCCGCCUGGGGAGUACGGUCGCAAGACUAAA
rnacentral:rRNA from 1 species